rnacentral:pre_miRNA from 1 species
AGUGGGAUAGCUGGGUCAAAUGGUGGUUUGUUAAGGAAUCUCCAUACUGCUUUCCAGAGUGGUUGCACCAGUUUGCAGUCCUACCAGCAAU